rnacentral:rRNA from 1 species
UACGGGGGGGGCAAGCGUUGUUCGGAAUUACUGGGCGUAAAGGGCUCGUAGGCGGCCAACUAAGUCAGACGUGAAAUCCCUCGGCUUAACCGGGGAACUGCAUCUGAUACUGGAUGGCUUGAGAUUGGGAGAGGGAUGCGGAAUUCCAGGUGUAGCGGUGAAAUGCGUAGAUAUAUGGAAGAACACCUGUGGCGAAAGCGGUUUUCUAGCUCGACCCUGACGCUGAGGCACGAAAGCAAGGGGAGCAAACAGG